GAUGAACGCUGGCGGCGUGCCUAAUACAUGCAAGUCGAACGAGUUCUCGUUGAUGAUCGGUGCUUGCACCGAGAUUCAACAUGGAACGAGUGGCGGACGGGUGAGUAACACGUGGGUAACCUGCCCUUAAGUGGGGGAUAACAUUUGGAAACAGAUGCUAAUACCGCAUAGAUCCAAGAACCGCAUGGUUCUUGGCUGAAAGAUGGCGUAAGCUAUCGCUUUUGGAUGGACCCGCGGCGUAUUAGCUAGUUGGUGAGGUAAUGGCUCACCAAGGCGAUGAUACGUAGCCGAACUGAGAGGUUGAUCGGCCACAUUGGGACUGAGACACGGCCCAAACUCCUACGGGAGGCAGCAGUAGGGAAUCUUCCACAAUGGACGCAAGUCUGAUGGAGCAACGCCGCGUGAGUGAAGAAGGCUUUCGGGUCGUAAAACUCUGUUGUUGGAGAAGAAUGGUCGGCAGAGUAACUGUUGUCGGCGUGACGGUAUCCAACCAGAAAGCCACGGCUAACUACGUGCCAGCAGCCGCGGUAAUACGUAGGUGGCAAGCGUUAUCCGGAUUUAUUGGGCGUAAAGCGAGCGCAGGCGGUUUUUUAAGUCUGAUGUGAAAGCCCUCGGCUUAACCGAGGAAGCGCAUCGGAAACUGGGAAACUUGAGUGCAGAAGAGGACAGUGGAACUCCAUGUGUAGCGGUGAAAUGCGUAGAUAUAUGGAAGAACACCAGUGGCGAAGGCGGCUGUCUGGUCUGUAACUGACGCUGAGGCUCGAAAGCAUGGGUAGCGAACAGGAUUAGAUACCCUGGUAGUCCAUGCCGUAAACGAUGAAUGCUAGGUGUUGGAGGGUUUCCGCCCUUCAGUGCCGCAGCUAACGCAUUAAGCAUUCCGCCUGGGGAGUACGACCGCAAGGUUGAAACUCAAAGGAAUUGACGGGGGCCCGCACAAGCGGUGGAGCAUGUGGUUUAAUUCGAAGCAACGCGAAGAACCUUACCAGGUCUUGACAUCUUUUGAUCACCUGAGAGAUCAGGCUUCCCCUUCGGGGGCAAAAUGACAGGUGGUGCAUGGUUGUCGUCAGCUCGUGUCGUGAGAUGUUGGGUUAAGUCCCGCAACGAGCGCAACCCUUAUGACUAGUUGCCAGCAUUUAGUUGGGCACUCUAGUAAGACUGCCGGUGACAAACCGGAGGAAGGUGGGGAUGACGUCAAAUCAUCAUGCCCCUUAUGACCUGGGCUACACACGUGCUACAAUGGAUGGUACAACGAGUUGCGAGACCGCGAGGUCAAGCUAAUCUCUUAAAGCCAUUCUCAGUUCGGACUGUAGGCUGCAACUCGCCUACACGAAGUCGGAAUCGCUAGUAAUCGCGGAUCAGCACGCCGCGGUGAAUACGUUCCCGGGCCUUGUACACACCGCCCGUCACACCAUGAGAGUUUGUAACACCCGAAGCCGGUGGCGUAACCCUUUUAGGGAGCGGGCCGUCUAAGGUGGGACAAAUGAUUAGGGUG
rnacentral:rRNA from 1 species